GCCGAAGUGGCGGAAUGGCAGACGCGACGGACUCAAAAUCCGUUGGUGGCAACAUCGUGUGGGUUCAAGUCCCACUUUCGGCACCA
rnacentral:tRNA from 1 species